GAUGAACGCUGGCGGCGUGCCUAAUACAUGCAAGUCGAGCGAACAGACGAGGAGCUUGCUCCUCUGACGUUAGCGGCGGACGGGUGAGUAACACGUGGAUACCCUACCUAUAAGACUGGGAUAACUUCGGGAAACCGGAGCUAAUACCGGAUAAUAUAUUGAACCGCAUGGUUCAAUAGUGAAAGACGGUUUUGCUGUCACUUAUAGAUGGAUCCGCGCCGCAUUAGCUAGUUGGUAAGGUAACGGCUUACCAAGGCGACGAUGCGUAGCCGACCUGAGAGGGUGAUCUGCCACACUGGAACUGAGACACGGUCCAGACUCCUACGGGAGGCAGCAGUAGGGAAUCUUCCGCAAUGGGCGAAAGCCUGACGGAGCAACGCCGCGUGAGUGAUGAAGGUCUUCGGAUCGUAAAACUCUGUUAUUAGGGAAGAACAAAUGUGUAAGUAACUAUGCACGUCUUGACGGUACCUAAUCAGAAAGCCACGGCUAACUACGUG
rnacentral:rRNA from 1 species